rnacentral:misc_RNA from 1 species
AAGUCGUAACAAGGUUUCCGUAGGUGAACCUGCGGAAGGAUCAUUAAUAAAUAAAUCUCGAUGGGCUUCUGUUUUGCCGGGAGGCCGGAAGCCCAUUAACCCCACCUCUGUGAACUGUCUACUGUAAUUCCUCCUCAUCUUGAAGAAUGGCCGGUCGGAAAAGGUGGCUCGCCGCCUGGUCCCCCGUGACGUUCUUUAACGUGGAGGGUAAAAUAUUUCUCACUUUGCACUUGGCGCUGAAGCUUUUAUUAAGCUGUUAGCUCAUGGGCUGUUAUUUCGCGGUCAUUCUAUUGAAAUCUCUUUUUUUAACUAAAGAGAGAAAAAAAAAUCUAAUAACAACUUUCAACAACGGAUCUCUUGGCUCCCA